rnacentral:tRNA from 1 species
GGCAAUAUGGCAUAAUGGUCAAGUGCAUGGCUUCUAGAGUUAGAAUCUCUGGGUUCAAGUCCUUGUUCUGCCC